UAACAUGUGGCUAACCUGCCCUUAGGACAGAGACAACCCCGGGAAACUGGGGCUAAUCUCUGAUAGGUGUGGAAUUCUGGAAUGAAUCGACACCCAAAAGACGCCUGAAUCAUGCUUUAAACAUCGCCUAAGGAUGGGGCCGCAGCCGAUCAGGUUGUUGGUGAGGUAACGGCUCACCAAGCCUAUAACCGGUACGGGCCGCGGGAGCGGUAGCCCGGAGAUGGACACUGAGAUAAGGGUCCAGGCCCUACGGGGCGCAGCAGUCGCGAAAACUCCACAAUGCGCGAAAGCGCGAUGGGGCUAUCCCGAGUGCCGUCCGCUGAGGAUGGCUUUUCUCCAGUGUAAGGAGCUGGAGGAAUAAGGAGAGGGCAAGACUGGUGUCAGCCGCCGCGGUAAUACCAGCUCUCCGAGUGGUAGGGAUGUUUAUUGGGCCUAAAGCGUCCGUAGCCGGCUCAUCAAGUCCUCCGUUAAAUCCAGCGAUUCAAUCGUUGGGCUGCGGGGGAUACUGUUGGGCUAGGGGACGGGAAAGGCCGACGGUAUUCCCAGAGUAGGGGUGAAAUCCUAUAAUU
rnacentral:rRNA from 1 species